rnacentral:lncRNA from 1 species
CUAUUAGCAUGAGUGAUACUUUUAAAUUUUGUUCAAUUGUGUCCUUCGAUUCAACACAUGCUAAUGUGAAGUUGUAACUUUUCAGAAGAACAAAAGCAGAACGAAGCUAUGGUUUUACUUGCAGCUUGGUUUUCACAUUCUUCCCAGGUUAAUCUUCACUAUUUUCUUUAGCUCAACUUUAUGUUGCCUUUGCUUUGUACACACCUCAUUAAAACCGAAUCAAGAGGCAUUAUAUUUGUGUAGAUGGUGCCCGCCAUCCCAGUAUGCCUCCUCAUUCUGAUGCUUUCGACCCGCCCGCAGGUAUUGUAACUUCUUCCUGCUUGUUCUUUAAUUUUUCCGCUCAACCCGCACGUUUGUUUAUGCUCCUUGGGUGUGCAAUGUGCUCAAUCUACCCUUUUAGCUAUUUUGGUUGAUGGUCGAUACAUAUGCAAAAGGAGAGGUGGUAGAUACAGAUGUGAAAGGAGAGGUGUUGACUUUUAACAGGCUUUCUAACAUAAAUAACUCCAUAUGAAGAUGAAUUGUAAGGAUGCAACGAUAAUUAUGUCUGGUGACAUGCUGACAUAGCCGUUACCUCCUGACGUGCUUCACCGGGUUGGUCCAUCUUGUCAGAAUGUGUUUGGAUUACAGAGUGGCUUCACCGGCUUUAGAUCCAUGGUCUCAAUAGUUUUGUUGUUCCUGGAUUAUAUCUUAUUGCUAGCUGCAUUGCUUUUGGUCUUCGGUGGGCCUUCAUUAUUUAUGGGGUAUAAUUUGGUGCUGGUCUUUGGGUAGUUUUGGUGUGUCAAAUAAGACGUUGAUGGCUAGCUAUGCUUUGCUUACAGUUCAGAACUUUAGAUGCCUAUGAGUUGUGAUACCUUCUGUUUUGGUUGUAAUGCCUGACCAUAGAGAGAGGAACAGCGGACAUUGAGGAUUGCGGUGGCUGAUUUUUUAAUUUGUGUUUGCCUCAAUGAUUCUCAUUUAUCUUAACUUCCAUUUACUCAAGACAAUUACAACAUUGGUAGAGAAACUUCUAUUUUGUUCUGUUCUUUGCUAUAUGAUACAUCCCAACAGAACUGAAGCAACUAAUUUAUUCAUGAAAAUGGUUGGUUUAAAGCUCGAAAGCUCAUACCGAGAUGGCUUUUUUCACAGCUUCAUGACGAAGUAAAAUAAAAGCUUAUGACCGAAGAAACAUGCUUGGAUAGGCGUCCUUGUCGACCUCGCAGUCUCCAACCCAUCCUUAGGUAUUGCAGCUCCUUCCAAUCCAGUUUACUCCCUUUUGACAAUUUCCUUACUUGAGCCUUGGAGAUAUGCACUGAAUCGGCUAAUGUUUGCUCUAGGAAUUUCCUUUUGUAGAGAGGAUGUCUUGCCGAAUGUAGUUUUUAGUUCUUGAUCUUUUUUAUACAAGAUAUCUAAAUACUGUAAUGACUCUUGCUGGGAAGCAGGUUGUCAUAUAAGGGGAAAACUUUAGAAGUUACGCGACGUAAUUUAAAUCAUGUGCAACUUGUUUGCUUCCUUGUUGUUUUAUUGCAUUCGAGAUCUUUACCAUUUUCACUGUCGGAAAUGCAGAGCAGAUCUUUAGUAUCUUGAAUUAUCAGUUAAAUUUGUUAGUUGUGAGAUGCAUAUGAUUCUGGCUUCAUUCACAACCAUUCAUGUGGUUUAUUCGGUUUGGUUGGUCGUUGUUAGUACUUUCAUGCCAUCUGAUUAUGUGGUAGAGUGCUUCCGAACUGUGUGUGGGGCCGGGUGUUGUCGGUCAGACCUGAGCACCCUCGCCGGCGACUUGCUAUCUAACCCAUCCACAGGUUUUCCUCUCUUUGAUUUUCCUGUCCAAGUCCAUGAUUUGGUUUAUCUUGGUUGACGUGCUUUUUUAUGUUACAUUGGUGGUCGAUGCAAUGAGAGGUGCAAAUGCAAGGCAAGACGACAUUAUAUAAUUUGUCCUGUGAGUUAGAAUAUCCAUGUGCUAUUUAUUGUGGUGCGGCAUCAAGCAUGUUGAUUGAAUCUGAAGCAUGAGUAAACUGUAGUAAGCUGUGUGUACAGAUUCCUGAUUAUUCUGUAUGAUCCUCUAUUUUUUCCUUUAUGAUCCUCUUUAUUGUGGUGCGACACCAAGCUUGGAUUAUUUACUUGCUUCCACUGUGAUUUCUGGGGAGGGCACUUUAUUGAUUUCUCAAACCUUGGAUCUAGACAUGUAAAUAGUUAAAUGAUAUAUUUUGCUUUUCGAUUAAAUAUGAUACUAACUAAACCUGUCUAUCUUAUACAAGCUGCAAUCUAUUCUGAAAAUUCUGUUUAUAAGGUACCAUCAGCUAUGACCCUAAUGGACCCCGAAUAAAAAGGAGAAAACAUUUGACACUUAUCGUGGCCAACCAUGAAACCGUGUUUCAGAAACUGCAUCAUAGCACAUAUUUCAACCACCGUUUCCUGGUUUGUAAUAUGUACUAGCCUUCUGAAAAAGACUGAGGCUGCACUUGUUCCUGUUAGGUACUUGUAGCAAAUAUUUACUAACUUUUGUUCUUUCGAUCAGAUAAUAAAAGUUUCAUGUCUCUUAAUAAAUUUUAGGUUGUCAUGUUACAAAAAGGCCUAUCUACAAAUAGGUGGACAAGAUAAAACAUUAAAAAUAGACUAGAGCAUUUUCCAUCUCCAUUGAUAAGAAAUAGGUGAAAAGAAAUUAAACUUACUCUUUUCCUUCCUUGCGUAAACGUCUUGUGCUGCUAUGUAGAAGAGGUAUAAUCUUUUUAUAUGGUGAAUCAUGAAGAAACUUAUAGCACAGUGCUAUCAUCUAUGGUAUUGGUGAAUAGUAGCCAUAGUGGUUUAGGAUCUUUUUCAUGUGUUGGCUAAUUGGUUAUUGAUUGUAAUUGCCAGUUUCUCUUCACAUAUGAACCAUGCAUACUUGAUGGUGGGUGAUCCAAAAAUGAUCUCAACCAAUAAAACUUUUAGCGAGUAUGUAAGAACUGGAGUUCUGGAUAUGGAUAGCAGACUACUUUUGAUGGUACUCAGUUUCUUGAAUCCUGUACAUUUCACAAAAACAAUAUGUUGCUUUCAAUGUUUUGGAUUUUACCAUGUGAGUGCCUCUGGAGAGAUUUUUUAAUUGCUUUCUUAUGCUUCCACCUAUUUUCUUCCAGAAUGAUGAUGUGCUUUCUGCUAAAAUUGUACACUAUGGUGUUGAUAAGCAUGAAUUAUUUGCUGUCCUCACAUACAGUCGUAAGCCUUAUUAACUUGAUCAUAGUGUUCUCUUUUUAUUUGUUAGCGGCAUGAUUGAAGGGCGAGACUACCAGCUGGUGAAGGAGAGGAUAUGUAUUCGGCGUGUCCUGAAGAGGUAGUCCACGAACCGGCAAUGGAGGAAAUAAGGUAGAGACGGCAAUAGCAGCAAGUACGUCAAGCGCCAGGGAUGUGGAUAUGGUGUGGCAUAAAAAGGUAGUCCACAAACCUCUGCUAGGUGCUCCUCUCUCACCUCUUGCGUCCUUUGGGGAUAUUCCUUCAUUAUUUGGUUACCUGUCAAUGCUCGGUCUUGUUUCCCACCUUGUGCUUUGACUUCUUGCAUUUUUUUCGUCUAAGUUAUUAGGCUACUGCUGCCUGGUUUGCCCAUGAUGAACCACUAAUUAUGAUGCACUGAUGGCUGGUCUACCUUUUUUAUGCUUUUUUUAGUGACAGCAUUCAGACUUAAUGUUUAUUACUUCAUUUCAGAGUUUUAAAUUAAGACAUCGCGGUCAAUUUAUAUGGUCUUCUGAAGUUUCCCUUCCCUUUGUCAUAUUGGUUUGAUCAAAUUAAUGGGAAGCCGGCAUUACUUUGAUGUACUGGCUUAUAGUCUUAUUAAGUACUCCCUCUUCAAACUAAUACAAGACCUUUUAGAUCACUGCUUACCUUUUAGAUCACUAAAAUAGUGAUCUAAAAGGUCUUACAUCUUAGCGCACAUUUAACUACUGUAUUUGUUGUACUAUUGUGGAUGUACCGCAGAAUAAAGCAGUCCUCCAUUUUUCUUCUAUGCAGGCUGAUGUUCUUGCUCAGUAUAAGCCAACAAUGGAGAAACUGACCAAGCUAUCUUUCAUGAUCAGUUAC